rnacentral:misc_RNA from 1 species
GAUGAAGAACGUAGCGAAAUGCGAUACGUAAUGUGAAUUGCAGAAUUCAGUGAAUCAUCGAAUCUUUGAACGCACAUUGCGCCCGCCAGUAUUCUGGCGGGCAUGCCUGUCUGAGCGUCAUUUCAACCCUCAUGCCCCUAGGGCGUGGUGUUGGGGAUCGGCCAGCGCCCGCGAGGGACGGCCGGCCCCUAAAUCUAGUGGCGGACCCGUCGUGGCCUCCCCUGCGAAGUAGUGAUAUUCCGCAUAGGAGAGCGACGAGCCCCUGCCGUUAAACCCCCAACUUUCUAAGGUUGACCUCAGAUCAGGUAGGAAUACCCGCUGAACUUAAGCAUAUCAAUAAGCGGAGGA